UCAGAACAAAGGUAACCUGGCCACCACUAAUGCCAACUGGUGGACAGAGCUACAAAUUUUGUUCGGAGUGUCGAUCAUAACAUACUCUUACUAGAAGUAUCAUCGGAGUUUCAUUUUUCAUUUUUUCUUUUGCAAUACAAUUUUGAUCUUCUAAGCAAAUGGUCGCUGUUCUCGGAAAUACCGAUCACUUUUCUAAAAUGGUCUUCUAAGGAAGAUAGUCACCAUAAGAGGAUUCCUUGUAUUUAAUUCAUUUUUAAAACAGAAGAUGGAACAUAUAUUUUCCUCUUGAUAAAUAAUAUUCGAAUAUGUAUAUAUAGUAAUGAUAUCUUUUAAAAAAAGUGCCUUCUAUUAUUUUUUAUUAUUUUACUUUUAUGUCAUUGGGAUUAUCAUUUAAGUAUAAAAUUAUUUUUAAACUUUUAUUUUAAUUCUGAGUUUUUGGAUUAGGAUUUUGAGAAAGCUUUUAUAACACUUUACAUAUGCUCGAUCACAUUUAAACUUUUUCACAAAUUAAAAUGUGAUCAAGUAAACACAAGUCAAACAAAGAUAAUUUUACUUGUGUUAAAGUUCACAAGUAAAAUGUUCAAAUUACAUAUUGACUCUGUCCUUUUAAUUAACAGAAGCAACACAGAUUAACUUUGUUACACUUGAUUCUUCAAUGUAAAAGAGUUAGAAAGAAGGCUUUGUACAUUUUCUCCCAUCACUAACUCUUGUGAAAAAGUUGAGACAUUCUUAGCAAAUAUUUAUCUAGUCAUUCCUUUAUGAUUAGUGUUGCUGUUUGAAGAAAAACUUCAAAUAAGAAUUACAUUAAAGAAAUUAUUUUGUUAAUAAAAUUAUUUCCUCUAAUUGCGCAACUUGGAAGCAUUAACUAUCUGUAUGAUAAUAUCUCUGAAACAUAUAGUUAUAUAAAAUUAAAAUUAUUGCAAAUAAAACUAAUGUAUUGAGUACAAUUCAUAACUGCAGGUAAUUAAAAAUUGAGCAAAUUUAACCCUUACAAAAAUUUUCAGUUUAGAUAAAUACAUUUAAAUUCACAAUUACACAUACUGUGUGAAUUUUGAAUACUAUAAAAAGUUAUUGUAUUUAUUAUAAUAGCCAGAAUUUUCAAAUGAGGAGGGGGUGAUUACUUACCUUUUUCCAAAACAGAAAUGUUUUUGGUAGAGUUCACUUCUUUAGAAAAUGUCCAAAUUUAGAAGACGUUAGAUCUAAUCCGUUACUUUGUCCCCCCCCCAAAAAAAACAGUUUUAAGCGUUUUUGCAAAAUUCGAUUUUUUACACUGUAGAAUUUAAAAAUGAAUAGCUUUCAAUUUUUAAAUUUUAAGUAAUGAAUCUAAACUAUAAUAUGUAAUAUAAAUUAACCAGGAAAACAUAAACGAUAUUUUCGCAUUCCCUUCUGAGAACAAUAGUGAUACCUUUUAAUAUCAAUAGUAAAUUUUUGUUCUGUUUUGCAUUACGAUCAAAAAGUAAAAUGAAAUAAUUUUUGAUAAACGUAUUAUGGUGUAGUACAUUGAUUUUUGCAAAAUAAAGCCCAUAAUUGGCUAUGUA